rnacentral:rRNA from 1 species
CCUACGGGUGGCAGCAGUGGGGGAUAUUGCACAAUGGAGGCAACUCUGACGCAGCAACGCCGCGUGGAUGAUGAAGGGCUUCGGAUUGUAAAGUUCUUUUCUAAGGGAAGAAGGAAGUGACGGUACCUUAGGAAUACGCCUCGGCUAAAUACGUGCCAGCAGCCGCGGUAAUACGUAGGAGGCAAGCGUUACCCGGAAUGACUGGGGGUAAAGGGUGCGGAGGGGGUAUGACAAGUUAGUAGGGCAACUCCGGAGCUCAACAUCGGAACUACUCCUAAAACUGUGGGACUUGAGUGCAGGAGGGGCAAUCGGAAUUCCUAGUGUAGCGGUGAAAUGCGUAGAUAUUAGGAGGAACACCAGUGGCGAAGGCGGCUUGCUGGACUGUAACUGACACUGAGGCCCGAAAGCGUGGGGAGCAAACAGGAUUAGAUACCCUUGUAGUC